CAAUGACAAAAUGCAACAAAGUAGGCAGCUCACGUAAGAGACACCUGUCGCUUGUCACCGUGCAGUUCGGGAGGGAGGAAGCCCAAGUGAUUCCAGGCAAAGCCUAGGCGAGCAUCAGUCCUAGAAAGUGACAAGUAGAAGGGUCAUCUGUGACCUGCAAGGCAUUGUUCCCUGAAAUCCGUGCAUCGUGAGCGAUCUGCAUGGGUGGCAGCACAGGGUGGAUCUCAGCUGGAGUUGUAAGAACAAUGGGAACCCAGUUUUCUGCUUCUCCACCCUCCUCCCACAUUUCCCUAUUCGUUGGCAUAUUAGUUCGUGAAUGUGAAGAUGUCUACAAGCAAGAAAUGUUCCGUGAAAUAAAGACAGUGAAUGAAUGAAAACGUGUAACAUCGCCAAGGUGAUUGAGAACGAGGAGACUUCCUCCUCGCCCAGUCCUCUCACCCCUCAUUCACACACCACAAAACCAUUUACAAAGUGAUUUGUGGUAAUACUGUAGUCGUCUUAUAAAGCUUUGUUCUUUUAAACCUCA